CCUACGGGUGGCAGCAGUAGGGAAUAUUGCUCAAUGGGGGAAACCCUGAAGCAGCAACGCCGCGUGGAGGAUGAAGGUUCUCGGAUUGUAAACUCCUUUUGUUAGAGAAGACAAUGACGGUACCUAACGAAUAAUCCCCGGCUAACUCCGUUCCAGCUGCCGCGGUUAUACGGCGGGUGCAAGCGUUACUCGGAAUCACUGGGCGUAAAGGGCGCGUAGGCGGGAUAGCAAGUCAGAUGUGAAAUCCUAGGGCUUAACCAUAGAACUGCAUUUGAAACUGUUAUUCUAGAGUAUGGGAGAGGUAGGUGGAAUUCUUGGUGUAGAGGUGAAAUCCGUAGAGAUCAAGAGGAAUACUCAUUGCGAAGGCGACCUGCUAGAGCAUAACUGACGCUGAUGCACGAAAGCGUGGGGAGCAAACAGGAUUAGAUACCCGGGUAGUC
rnacentral:rRNA from 1 species